rnacentral:lncRNA from 1 species
UCCCUUGACAUAUGGCUCACCAGGGCCACUCCCGGCCAGAACUCCGCCAGAGCAUCUGAUGGGACCACUGCACCCGCUGUUUGCCAACAGCAAAGUUGGACAGAGCUGCUGUCCUCAAGGCCCCUCGACAAGGAAGUCCUCCUGGAUGCCCAGCUCUGGAGUCAUCUCUGUGGUAUACUAGGAUUCCAGUUCCAACUUUCUCUGGAACCAGUUGGGUCAUCACAGGUCACGAGAGCAGAUGCCUACAGAGAGUGAGGAGAGGCGGGACCUGCCACAAACUGCAAGCUUGCAGGUGAAGAUGGCUGUCCAGCUGCGAUGCUCUCACACCCAGGACCCACAAUCGAAAGAACCAAGGACGUGAGAUCACAGUUAGAGCCUGCUGUGUAAGUCGUGUUUCCCCCAACGACUGGGACCUCCUGGCCAGCAGGGAGAGGCCUGAGUCAUCUCCGGGUCCUCUGCCCCUGGCCAAAGCAAAGA